CAAGUUAGCCCAGGCUCAUGCUGGACUCGAGGCUUCUCCUGCCCCUGGAAUAUACAGGCUUGUGCGGCUCAAGGACGUGCCAGAAACCACCGCUUUGGUGGAGAAGAGCCACCUGGCCCUGCACGGCGCAGCCCACAGUAGCUGCCUCUGCCAUUAAGGGUUUUCUUCCUGAAGUCCAGUAUAAACAGUCUCCGCUCUAAUGAACGUGCUAAUAAAUCAAAUCCGGCUUCAGCGACCUCGCCAUGGAGGAGCUGGAUGAUACAUGAACAAGAAACAUCCCUGUGACUCCUGAAAUCCAUCACGGUGCUGCCAAGGGCAGCAUUAUCAUCUCGGGCUCAUCUCUAGCUUAAGGCUGUGCUCAGGGCACACGUGUCCCUCCUAUGGGUGCUGUGUCCAGCUUUGCUUUAAGAGACUUUGAGGCUCCAGAGAUGCUCUCGACCUGCUCUGCCUCACUUGCUCUAGCAGAUGACAACCUUUUUGUGCAGAAGUUUCAGCUGUGAGUAGGGACACAGUCCUGCUGUUCCCAUAACUGGGGGGCAAAGUUCUCAAGCUCUUUGCAUGCUGAGAACGUAAUUUCAAUGUAUGUUGUUGCUAGUAAGCCAGAGCUUGGGGUCUGUUCCCCAUUACCCAGCAUGUGGCUGGAAAGCUCAGCACACCCUGCUCCCCGCUGGAAUGGGCUUGUCCUGCAGACGUUGCUGUGUUCGUGCAAGGUCUACAAGCUCUUUUUGCUAUGAAUCUUUAUUUGUCCCAUCUGCUGUAGAAGCAGCAAGCACGAAGGGUAGCUUUGAUGGGUGCGCUCGGAGAAGCUGCUUGUCCUGGCAAAAAGGCUCUGCUCGAGUGCUGGUGCAGCCCAACUGUUUUAUUUUGUCUGUCCUACUAAACAGUAAAAAGCAGGAGCUCUGUUGAAGAUGAAUUAUUUUAUACGGGGAAUUCACCGGAUACAGGAUGAUUCUGCUGGUGCUGGCUCUUUCCUGUGGUCAGAGAAGGGAUGAGUGCUCAUCCAACCAGGCUGGUCUUGGCAGGGAUAGAGCAGCCCAUGGGUUUGGGCAGGAACAGGGUACCAUGAGAGGAGAAAACCCUUUUUCUAUGGAUCUUGGUAGCUCAUCCCUAUGGAGAUGAAAACCCAGGUCUCAGGGACAGCCCCAACCUGGACUGGCCCCAGCCAAGGUUGGAGCGUGCUGUUCCCACCAGCUCUCCAUAAACACAGACAAAUGUUUCCCAUGCAGCUUUUCCCAGCAAAAAAACCCUGCAGAUCUGGUCACGCCAGGAUGUUUUCUGAACCUUUGUGGUGUUUACUGAAGUUUUUGUUUAGAGUUUUUGGUUUAAACAUAACUUCAAUGUUCCCCUUGAACCUUUUCGUAAUGAAGCUGUUGCCACAUUUUGGGAUGGGGGGUGGUGUAAACAGCAGCUUCAGCAUUUCCCUCAAUCAUGUAAUUAAAAAAAAAAAAACCCUAAAGCCACAAAAUUUCCAAUGAAAUAUUUGGAUUUGUCGAGCAAAUUUUUUGGUCAGCCUUAAAUACAAUGUCAGUGUUGCCAGGCUCCUCAGUCUGCCCUAAUUCCCCUGCUGGGACAAGAGGCUGUGGCCACAUUAAUUCUUCCCCAGCUCCAUAGGUGAACUCAGCUUGCACUGAGUAGCUCAUACGAGUUUCCCUUCAUUCCACAUCCUCUUCAGUCCUUAAAGCUGCCUGAGAAGGACAUGGGAUGGAGGAAUAAAAGCUCUGGGCAGGGAUAUGCAGGGUUCGGGUGCUCCCCCUGGGACUGGGGCAGGUUUCAAGGGCUCAGAUGUUCUUGUCCAGGCCGGGAUCCUGGUGCAGACCCUUGGUGCAGGAUUCAGCCCCUCCUUUCUAGUGGAAUUCAGUUCUUAGGGUCUGUUCAGUCUCCGGGCUCGGGGGCUUUGAGGAGGGUUGCUGGUCCUGCCCCUUGAGCUGAAGGAGUUUCUGGGUGUUUUCUGAGCAUCUAUGUGUCAAUGGCAGGUUUGUGUUUGUGGACAACUGUCCACAACAGGAGAUGAAAAAGAAAUGGAGAAGGAGAAAUCAAACACAAAACCCUAACUCUGUUCAGGAAGCACCUUAGUCACUUGUAAGUUGAAAAAGGGGGAUGGAGAUGAUGCCGGGCUCGUUGAGGGCAGCAAAAGGCAGUGCAGCCUGUGGGCUGUGGCGCCCAGCUGUGCAGAGCAGCUGGGGGCAUCGCCGGACGCCUGGGUCCCCUGCAGUCAGCAGAAGUGCCUUGCUCGAGAGGUCUCCUGAAGGAACCUCUUGGACCUGCUCCCCAGCUUAGGAACCUUGGUGCUGCAUUUGCCCUGCUGCUGGUGGCACCGCUGGACGCAGGGAGCUGAGGUUCCU